AACGCAUAUGGCACCCGAGACCUCGGUCGAGGGUAUGUCUGCCUCAGAGUCGGCGUAAAACAAACUCCCUUGUUGUUGGUUCGGUCCAACCAGGGGGAACUGACCCUCCCGCACCGCUGGUGCGGGUUGGUCGAAGGACAGAAACGGGUACGCGCGGCAGUGGCUAUUUCCCAGCUAGCCGAGAUUUGUUGGAGAAAGGACCUAUGUCCGAUCUUUCUUUGUCUCGGGACCUUGGGGUUUAUGGCCCUGCCAUGGCGCGCCCGCCCUGCAGGAAACAUUAGGUCGCCGGGCUUCCGCGCCCUCCGGCCUCCUUGCAUCCGACCUGAGUUCAGGCAAGAUCACCCGCUGAACUUAA
rnacentral:misc_RNA from 1 species